rnacentral:sRNA from 1 species
AGGAAAGGAGAGGGAGAGAGUGUGUGUGGAUGGAUGUGUGUUGAGAGAGAGAAUGGAUGUGUGUGUGUUUACGAAUAAACUUGGAGGGGAGGGGGCAACAGGGGUGGGUUUUCGGGCUGAGAAAUGGGAACACUGUGGGGCUGCUGCAAGCAGGACUUGGGCCUUAAACAUUCCAGGAGAGUGUUCUCGGGAGUAGCCCCGGGAAGGACUUUAACCGAGGUUAACACAGAAAUCUGCCUCCUGGGCCAUGCCGCUUCUAAGGCCUGUUUCUUCUCAUGAGCCCCAGCACAAGACAGAUGGGCCAGUUCUCACAGUGGAUAACUUCCCCUGCCUGAGCAAGAGAUGGGAUAGUAUCUGGGAUCUGUCCAUCACCAGACUCUGAGCUUAAUAAGGCAGCUGAAUGAAGGGAGAAGGUGUUGAGCUGGCGAGUUCGCGGAGGCUACUAUUCAGGAAAUCUUAUCCAGAUGGGUACACUGGAAGCUACACCUCUCCAUUACUCUGUCCGGGUGCAUGGCUGCCUCCUAAUCCCAUAGUCCAGAGGA